rnacentral:rRNA from 1 species
GACGUAGGGCGCGAGCGUUGUCCGGAUUUAUUGGGCGUAAAGAGCUCGUAGGCGGUCUGUCGCGUCGGCUGUGAAAACUCGGGGCUCAACUCCGAGCUUGCAGUCGAUACGGGCAGGCUAGAGUUCGGCAGGGGAGACUGGAACUCCUGGUGUAGCGGUGAAAUGCGCAGAUAUCAGGAGGAACACCGGUGGCGAAGGCGGGUCUCUGGGCCGAUACUGACGCUGAGGAGCGAAAGCGUGGGGAGCGAACAGG